AUUGAACGCUGGCGGCAGGCCUAACACAUGCAAGUCGAGCGAGCGGCGGACGGGUGAGUAAUGUAUGGGGACUGCCCGAUAGAGGGGGAUAACUACAGGAAACGGUAGCUAAUACCGCAUAAUAUCGGAUAACCCAUAUGGGAUGAGCUAGUUGGUGGGGUAAAGGCUCAACAAGGCAACGAUCCGUAGCUGGUGUGAGAGGACGACCAGCCACGCUGGGACGGUGACACGGCCCAGACUCCUACGGAGGCAGCAGAGUGGAAUUUUGGACAAUGGGGGGAACCCUGAUCCGGCCAUCCCGCGUGUAUGAUGAAGGCCUUCGGGUUGUAAAGUACUUUUGUCAGGGAUGCGGUAUCUGCAGAAUAAGCACCGGCUAACUACGUGCCAGCAGCCGCGGUAAUAC
rnacentral:rRNA from 1 species